UACGUAGGGUGCAAGCGUUAAUCGGAAUUACUGGGCGUAAAGCGUGCGCAGGCGGUUUUGUAAGUCUGUCGUGAAAUCCCCGGGCUCAACCUGGGAAUCGGCGAUGGAGACGUGCAAGGCUAGAGUUUGGCAGAGGGGGGUAGGAAUUCCACGUGUUAGCAGUGGGAAAAUGCGUAGGAUAUGUGGAGGAACACCGUAGUGGAGCGG
rnacentral:rRNA from 1 species